rnacentral:rRNA from 1 species
AACUAACGCUGGCGGCGUGCCUAACACAUGCAAGUCGUACGAGAAAGCCGGCUUCGGCUGGUGAGUAAAGUGGCGCACGGGUGAGUAACGCGUGGAUAAUCUGCCCUUAAGUGUGGAAUAACGUACCGAAAGGUGCGCUAAUACCGCAUAAUGCCUGGCAACACAAGUUGUCCGGCCAAAGAAGGCCUCUGUUUACAAGCUUUCGCUUCAGGAUGAGUCCGCGUACCAUUAGCUUGUUGGUGGGGUAAUGGCCUACCAAGGCUGCGAUGGUUAGCUGGUCUGAGAGGAUGAUCAGCCACACUGGAACUGAGACACGGUCCAGACUCCUACGGGAGGCAGCAGUGAGGAAUAUUGCGCAAUGGGGGCAACCCUGACGCAGCAACGCCGCGUGAGUGAGGAAGGUUUUCGGACUGUAAAGCUCUGUCGAGCGGGAAGAAGUGUACCAUGGCUAAUAUCCAUGAUAUUUGACGGUACCGCUAGAGG